UUGAGCGGCAUGCAGGGAAACUUGCACGUGUCGUUCUUAGAGGGCUUGGAGGCGGUAACGCCUCCCGGCUACUCGGC
rfam:Ktedonobacter racemifer DSM 44963 strain SOSP1-21 Krac_Contig206, whole genome shotgun sequence.